GUGCUUGCUUUGGCAGCACAUAUACUAAAAUUGGAAUGAUACAGAGAUGAUUAUCAUGACCCCUGUGCAAGGAUGACCCACAAAUACAUGAAACAUUCCAUAUUUUA
ensembl:snRNA U6 U6 spliceosomal RNA